rnacentral:rRNA from 1 species
GGUAACGGCCUACCAAGGCUACGAUCAGUAGGGGUUCUGAGAGGAUUAACCCCCACACUGGUACUGAGACACGGACCAGACUCCUACGGGAGGCAGCAGUGAGGAAUAUUGGUCAAUGGGCGGAAGCCUGAACCAGCCAUCCCGCGUGAAGGAAGACAGCCUUACGGGUUGUAAACUUCUUUUCUGUCAGAAGAAUAAGCUUGUCGAGACGUGUGAUGCCGGUAUGACAGGAAUAAGCAUCGGCUAACUCCGUGCCAGCAGCCGCGGUAAUACGGAGGAUGCAAGCGUUAUCCGGAUUUAUUGGGUUUAAAGGGUGCGCAGGUUGUUUGAUAAGUCAGUGGUGAAAGUCUGUCGCUUAACGGUAGGAUUGCCAUUGAUACUGUUGGACUUGAAUAUGGAUGAGGUAGGCGGAAUGUGUAGUGUAGCGGUGAAAUGCAUAGAUAUUACACAGAACACCGAUUGCGAAGGCAGCUUACUAAUCCAUCAUUGACGCUGAGGCACGAAAGCGUGGGGAUCAAACAGGAUUAGAUACCCUGGUAGUCCACGCCGUAAACGAUGAUCACUCGCUGUUUGCGAUAUACAGUAAGCGGCUAAGCGAAAGCGUUA